rnacentral:lncRNA from 1 species
CUGGCACAGAUAGAUAGAUAGAGAUAUAGAUGAUAUAAACAGCUACUAUAUCUACUAUGCCAUCAAAUGCAAGGAAUGCAUGCAAUAUCAUUUAUCAUGCUAGUAUGCUUUAACAAUGUAAUGAAUACAAAUACGACACAGUUAUGCAAUCCACUAACAUAUACUAUGUCUAAUCAGGGUAUGAAUGCAAAUCCACUUAUGCUAUUCAUGUCAUUACCCAAUCCACUAGGCUACCCCGCCUAAGAUCUCAAAUCUCAUAGGUACUCACACCACAAAUCUAGUAGGUGAAGAGGUGAAGAGCUACCCCGCUCUUCGCCCUGACUGAUAUCUCGAAUCUCAUAGGUAAGGAGCUACCCCGCUCUUAUCUCACCCGUCUCACAUCUCAAAGGUAAUAGAUGAAGAGCUACCCCGCUCUAAUCUCAUAGAUAUUGAGCUGCCCCGCUCAAUCUCAUAGGGGAAAGGCUACCCCGCCCUUCGCCCCAACUCACGUCCCAGUCCAAUAGAUGAGGAGCUACCCCGCUCGUAUCCCACCCGAUAAGCUACCCCGCUCGUGUGACAACUCCGGAGUGCACUGCUUGUGUGGAGCGACCACCACAAGCUCAAAACAGACUAUGUGAGUAUGAUCCAAUCCUCGCCAACUGAGGAUACCCUGUCAACUAGGAUUAACAAACACUCGAAAGUCCACCUAUCCGUAGGUCCAU